rnacentral:lncRNA from 10 species
GGGUCUCUUACUCAUUCAGAUUAUUUAUUAAGAGCAAAAGUCGGGCCAUCCCAUCGUGUGAUAUUGCAACAUGAAAAGUCACAUACAUACUAAGGAGACCCCACAGAAUUGAGAGCCUUUCAACAGUACAGAGCCAUAGAUUACGAAGUUAAAAUACAAAUGAUCCCCCAGAUUUGGCAGGAAACAAGUACAAUAUGAGGAGGCCUGGAAUGGAAGGGCACUUACUUUUCAAUAAGGCAGUUACAAAAUGGGAAAAAAAACCCCCAAAACCUUGUACCCCAAAAUAUACUCUGAUGAGCGUAGCAGACAAUAGAAAUGUAAAAGAAGGAUCCUGUAUAACCCUCUGUCAUUGGCAAAUGUGUGCAUUAAGUGAAAGCAACUGAAGGGUUUGUGUUUUAAGAUGCAAGCUAGAUGAAACAACUGACUGUAGACAUUUCUACCUCAAGAACAGUUCAUAUCUUGCCCUAGGCUGGGUUCUACCUCAAAACACCAGACCCACUUUACCAUUUCUAACCAUAAACUUGGAAACAGUCUAUAAUACAAUGAAAGGAAUAAAAAGGCACCCCUAGAGCACCAUGCUUCCCAAGGCAUGAUCUUGAGCUCAUCUGCCCUUCGGUUCGACUGCCCAGCUCAGUAACAGGGACCAGGAGCCAGGGCCAGCUGAAUUACACAACCUCAAAGGAUCGCCUGGAAGGCAGAUAUCUGACCAAGAGAUCACAGACCAAGCACAUUUCAUGAGAAUUUAAAUGCUAGGACAAUACUACCUCUCCCAAUAGGGCUUUUGAACCCUGGUUUUAAAUAACAGGCUAGAUCUGUUUUCCCUUACCACUCAUUUUGCAAAACUCAACUGGCCUAAACAUUUCGCUCAAUCUUGAGUUCUGCAGGUUGGUCCCUGAGAGCUAGGUUGGCCUUGGGAAUUUCUGCUCAAUUUUAAGUUCUCAAGAAUCUGAGGGCAGCCGAUUUAGACUGAAUUAGAGUCAUCCUAUAGGUCAGAAAGAAAGAAUGCUAGACAGGUCAAGAGGGCCAGAGGUUGGUUCUGAUAAUGCCAUAUGACCUCAGGCACAUCUUUUUGAGUUUUAGUUUCCCCAUCUCUAAAAACGGAUGAUUGGACAACAGCAAGCUUAACAGACUUUCCACCUUGAAAAUACGGCACUUCUCUGACGCUUAGACCUUAAGUCCUGAAGCGUUGUUUUCUCAGCAAAAACAGUGCAAACACAGAACUGAGUCCUCAUCUGUCUGAGGUUUAGCAGGCUGCUAACAUCUUCUCAUCCCCCUCUCCUCUCCCCAAGCUUUGGCAGAAACAAGCCAGCCAGUAGGGUUUUCUCAACAUUCUCCAACAAGGAACUGAGUGGACUAAUACUCAGGGGUAAGGACAGUGUACCAAAGUGUCCAUGUCCUAGCAUUGUUUCUUUCCAAAAGGCAAACGCUAUGCUUUGGGACAGUGCCAGCAAUUAGGUGCUUUGCCAAAAAUAACUUGUCCCAUGUGGCCCCCAUGGGGCAGAGACUAAGAUGGAAAUUACAGAGAACAUAGAAAAGCCAGAGGUUUACAAAGAACAGGCUUCUCCACGAGGUAGUGGGUUCUCUGUCCUCGGAGGUGUUUAAGUCCAGACUGCUCAACCCCUUGGUGGGAUGGUUGUAGGCAGAAUGUCAGCACCUAUGUGGAGACUAGACUGGAUGACUUAACAGCCCUUUCCCAACUUUGAGAUCCUGUCAUUGUAAUGACUGAGAGCGCCUUUGGAUGACUUCCAUGAAGCAACUGCUCUGGGCAACAGCCUCCCUCAAUAGGCAAGGCCCCCAGAGUAAGCUCCUUCUUCCAUCCUCUCCCUCCCAACAGGCAGUUGCCCUGCAGGAUAUUAACAAAAAGCUUCCCACAAAAUAAAAAGCCUAAACACCAAAAUUAGAUGCAACACUGCAGCUGCAAACAAUUGUUACUAUCUGUUCUCUGAAAGGCUAGCAGUGACUAUUUAGCUAUGACAGGAACAUCUAAAAACUUGGCAGCUGUAACAUGUAAGUAAAAUUCCUCUUCAUUUUACAACACCGGUCUUGAAUCCUUUGGUUUUUAAUCUUUCAUGAGAUUCAGCUGUGAUCUUUUUUUUUAUAUGCUGUUGCCAACCUAAGAGUUUGUUCCUUGAAGCAAGAAGUUUGUCCAUUGGUUUUUAAAACAUCUUAAAACAACAUGAAUGGCAGGAUACUGAUGUUUCCAUGUGAGAACCUUCAGGGCAUAUCAAAGAACCAUACCAGGCUGGAACUGAGGCAGGAACCAUACUCUUUAAGAAGACAACGCCAGUUCUGGAUUUCAAAUUCCAGUUUUGCCCAGAAGCACCAAGAGGAAAGAAGGCAAUGCUGCUACGUCACAGGUGGAGAGAAGCGCAAGAGUCCUUGAUGGAUGGUAUAAAAAUGGAGCAGCCAAGAUGAACAUUGCUUUCCCCACACCCCACUGCUCCCUGAAGCCAGACCCCGUUGCUCUGGAGGGCCUGGCCACUUCUCACAGGCAGGAGUCCCUUGCCCACAGAUAGAGCCACCAGAAACUGCAGAAGAGGCUAAGGCGAGUGGUUUAGUGGUUUGAUGAAAGAACAGAUUUCUGGACAUAAGAAAAACAUAGGUUCAAAUAGCUUUGUCUUUUCUCUCACCUGACCUGUUGAAAGGUCAGAUUGAAAAGGUUGAAAAGAUGCCCACAACCUCCACUUUCCACAAGCACCUCUCCUUAGAGGAAAGACAAGGGACCCAAGUACACACACAGCAUCUGGCUGAAGGUAAAACAUUUCCCCAGGUUUCGCUUUGGAAUAAAGAUUCUUUCAGACACAAUUGAACAGAUGGAUCCUACCAUCAUAUAUUCUUGUGCAGAAGCUAUUGUCUCUCUCAACUGGGAAAACAGAUUUGCUGCUAAAGAAAUAGUGAUGUGACCUACACGCCCACAAUUCUGGUUUACGUAUCAGAAAAAUACACUUUUUUACUCAUUAAGAUAUGGACAUUUCCAUGGAGCAAGUUAACAAUGCCUUAACCUGCAGGCCCCAUCUGCCCCUCAGCCUUCUUGAUGCCUGUAUCAACAUCCUUCAGCUGUAAGCAGGGAGAGAAUCUCUAAACACAUAGUGAAUGUGAAUGACUGAAAACACUCACAGAGCACUGGACAUGCCAUCCACAGCCAGGAGGCAUACCAAAAUAGGAUGCCCUCACAGUCCAGAGUAUAUUCUAUAUACAACCAUUUAUAUAUAUUUAAUUUAAAAGGCUGCAAUCUGCUAGACAUGCAUUUUGAACACAGGCGAAAGCUUUGCUGCAAUGGAACAUACUGCAUUUUAGUGAGCGUGGUGACCCUGUCCCCAUUCCACAGAAAGCGUGGUACUCUGCUCCACAGAACUGAGACCUUUGGACACUCCGCCGCCCUGCUCAGUAGGGGGUUUAGUCCUGACUUCUCUGUGAUGGUGCUCAGAUUAAGUCAUCUGUGAAACUCUCUGCCAGGCCAGGCUGUCCAUUGUUCUUAUUAUUUAAGGCUUAAGAAAUUAACUCAGAAUUGAAACUGAGUAGGAAAAUGACACCUUUGACCAUAUGUCAAGAUGGUCAUAAAUUAGAAUCCAAAUUCUUUUCUUUUCUUUCUCCCACCCUCCUACCCCAUACCCUCUGCCCUCCAUUACACAGAUUAAAGAAUUUUGCAAAAGCACAUUUUUGGAUAUAAAGCUUUGUUUUCACAGGAUACUUUGGCUCUGAUAUAAUUAGAUUGAGGAGUUCAACGUUUUGAACAACAAAAAAAUUAGGUAAUUUUCAAAAAUUAUUUUAGCAAUCUUUCUCCCUAAGAGGGAGGCAAAUUGUUCACAAAAAUGAGCAUCAGAUGGAAUUGACCUUUGUUGCCCAAACUCAUGAUUUGCUGAUGACCAGAGCCCAGGGAGUCAAGGCCAGCCAGACUUUCAAUCCUAAGCUGAACUUCUGGGCAGGAAUCACAUGGCCCCUGGCAGCUUGCAUGGUGGUUGUGAACUUAGGAUGAAAACUUCUAAAAAUACUUGCCCCAACCUACUAAAUAUGUCAGUGUGUCAAUGCAUUUAUUACCAAGAAGCUUGGCUGAAGUCAUAAUAUCUAACUGCACCCCAAAGAGUGAAGCAUAGUGGGGUGCAUAAGGGACCGUAUCUUCUGUGAGGGUCUCUAUAUCAGUGUUUCUGGAACCUCAACGAAUAGUUUUGCACAUGCAACUGUCCUGAAAUCCUUAUCUGAUCAGAAACUUCCUUGUUGGUGCAUCAGGAUUUCCUCCACAUUCUAGCAGUUAAGUGGUGAGCAACAGAAAUGGCAGAGGUCUCAGUCAUGAGAGGUGUGAAGCGGAUGUUACAAGGCUGGCACUAUUAGUGACAGCUCAAUUAGCCAAUACCUACUGAUUGAGUGCCUACUGUGUACAAGGCACAGGGUGAGUGAGGGGGACCAGUGUCAAACUGAUCUGCUGAUAAAUGACAAAGCUUGCAACAAAGCGGGCGGGAUAUCUAUGUCGCCAGCGGGCAGCAUGCAAGUCCAGAUGUGGGUCUGCUCAUGCACUUCCAUGGCCAAUUGCACCUUGCUGCUAUUCCAAGCUACAGCUCACACGUGGCAGCCUGGUGGAUAAGGUGAUUACCAAAAUAUUUCUUAUCCCACAUUUCCAGUAGAAUUGAUUUAAUGCUUUGUUGAAUGCUGAAAUACAUAGUUUUUAAUU